UUUUUUUUUGAUGCUACCAGAUACUUUAUUUUUUUUCACCAAAAAUGGUAGUGUUCUGUAAUCAACAACCAUCAAGAUCUUAGUUAAACCUAUUUACACUUUAAUGUGCUUCUCAAUAUUACUACUUCUAGGCCAGGAAGUAUAGCAUGAAAGUGAAAUCUUAACAGCAAUGGUAAAAGUAGAUUAAAUAUAGAAAUGUUUUUCUUUUCUCUGUUAUGAUGAAGAAUGGAAAUUGGUAUCAGCAGAUCUGAGAGCAGUAAGGGAAGGAGAAUCUGUUACAGGUUUCUCUACUUGUACGUGCUAUAUUUUUGUGUUUUCACACUGUCUUACCUCUAUAGCUGUAUAGGUGUCCAAAUUUUUCUUUUUGAUAAGGACAUCAAUCAUACUGGAUUAGGGGCUCAUCCUAUUCCAGUAUGACUUUGUCUUAACUAAUAGCAUCCCACAAAGACCCUAUUCCCAAUUAAGAUUAUCUUCUGAGGUACUGGGUGCUAAAAACUCAACAUAUGAAGUUUGAGGGGGGCAUAAUUUAACCCAUAACACUUAAGUGAGCCUAUCAUCAAUCUUGGCUUGCCCGAUGGUCCUUUGUCUCUUCUAGGCAUCAAGAUUAGGGAUUAAAAAACCUUUCUGAAAAAUAAGCACUUCACAC
rnacentral:lncRNA from 1 species